UACAGAGGGGGCGAGCGUUGUUCGGAAUUACUGGGCGUAAAGGGCGCGUAGGCGGCCAACUAAGUCGGACGUGAAAUCCCCAGGCUCAACUUGGGAACUGCGUCCGAUACUGGAUGGCUUGAAUCCGGGAGAGGGAUGCGGAAUUCCUGGUGUAGCGGUGAAAUGCGCAGAUAUCAGGAGGAACACCGAUGGCGAAGGCAGGUCUCUGGGCCACUACUGGACGCUGAGAAGCGAAAGCAUGGGGAGCGAACAGG
rnacentral:rRNA from 1 species